AAAGUGCUGGGAUUACAGACAUGAGCCACCGUGCCCAGCCAAAUAUUUUUUAAGAACAGAGAUUUUUAGCAUCCAGCUGUAAGUCGUCUGAGAUUCUGUGAUAGGAAAACUCCUCCAUCGCCUCCAGAUUCUCAGUAGUCUGUUACACUCACCAAAACCUUAUCUUGAGCCCUUCAGGGGCUGAGGUUGAAUCUGGUACAACAUCUCUGCCUGUAUCUGGUGCCCAGCCUAGAAGCUGGUGUAGAUGAGGGGCCAGGAAAGGGAUGGAGGAUCCUGCAGCAUGGCCUGGGAAUUCAGGACUUCAACGACAAUGAAGAAGAAAUACUGCCAAGAGCUGAGGUACCACUGGCAUCACUUGGGCCUGUGCCAUUCUGCCCACAUCCCCUUGGAAGUACAGAAUGGAGUACAGAAUCCCCCUCCUAUCUGGACUAGGCAGGGAGUUGAGGUGUGAUGAGGCCUUGCCAGCCGCUCUUCAUGGUGGGAAUACAUUCAAAUCCAGCCUCACCUGGAUAUCCCCCAGGGAGCUGAGCCUUAGGUUUUGUGACAGAAUUUGAGGCAGUGAAUGCUGACCCAGCUUUGUAAGAAAGAAUAGGAGAAAGUAUGAUGAGAAGAAUGGCCUGAACUGACCACAGCAGCAGACUCUGGGCUGGCUGGACAGUAAACAAGGGAAGACUGAGUUCUCUCCAUCCCACUCUUUCCAGUGAAGGAGCUGCACUGAAGCUCAGCUCCCCAUAGGACUGAAUACUUUCUCUUCUUGGUAAAGAGGCUACAAUAUCUCCUGAGCACUGAAGUCUCCAAGUACUGGACAGCUGGUAUUCCUAGGAAACUCCUGCAGGAUGCUAGUCCCUUGUAUCCAGUCACUCUGUGCCAAGAGGUCCGUUGUAUCCCCCAUGGAUAAAGUUGCUCUCAAAAUGGCACUUUCUAAAGUGGCAAGAGGGAGGAUCUCUCCACUGGAAUGGCAGACCCACCUUUACCUAUUCAAAGUGGUAUGGAAUUGUUCUAAACUCUGGUGCACAGCAGGCAGAGGCCAGAAGGGCUCUACCUUGCAGGAUCCUCCUAGCCCUGAGUCCCCAGUGCUCACAGGAUGAAGUUUGAGAUCCUUAGCCUGUCUCCCCAGUGCCUCCAUGAUCUGGCCUUGGCUAUUUCUCUGGCUCCCUGCACCCCUCCUUGCCCAUUUACUUAUAAUUCCUGAAUAUGCAUGCUGUUUUAGGUCUCUGAGGUUUUGCACAUGCUUGUCUUCUCGUCUAGAAUGUCUUUCUUCCAUCUUUCUCCUUGAUCCUGUACAGAGGAGAACUUCUAUUCAUCCUUCAAAAUGCCAUUAAAGUAUCACCUCCUCUCUGAAGGCCUCCUGGAUUCUUAUCACCUUUAUUCCAAGAUAUAUAUGAGUACGAGUUAAGAAAAAAUGGAUUCGUUUUAGCUCUUCAUUCUCCUUCCCCACUUCCAGGGAGGAGAGGCCAUUAUUAUUUAUUUCUUAUUAGAAAGACAAGAUGGAAGAAAGGAAGGAAGGAAA
rnacentral:lncRNA from 1 species